CACAAUGUUGCCCGAUCACCCUCUCAGGCCGGAUACCCAUCGUCGCCUUGGUGGGCCUUUACCUCACCAACUAGCUAAUGGGACGCAAGCUCAUCCUCAAGCGGAGCCGUAGCUCCCUUUCCUCAACGCCUCUUAUGAAGCACUGAGCCUAUUCGGUAUUACCUGCUAUUUCUAACAGCUAUCCCAUCUUAAGGGUAGAUUACCCACGUGUUCCUCACCAGUCCGCCACUCUAGGAGAGAAGCAAGCUCCUCUCUUGCCGUUCGACUUGCAUGCUUAAGACGCGCCGCCAGCGUUCGUUCUGAGCCAGGAUCAAACUCUAAUCGAAUUCCCGCUGCCACA
rnacentral:rRNA from 1 species